rnacentral:snoRNA from 1 species
AUCCUUUUGUGGUUCAUGAGCAUGAUGAAUGGGUGUUCACGCAUUUAUGUGAGAUGUGCCUCCCUCAAACCUUAUUACGACAUCAGCACAUUACCCAUUUUACA